rnacentral:lncRNA from 1 species
AGGACUUUCGUUAACCGCUUGCAAAGGUGAGUGCCGGGUAGAGGACAUUAGCUCGCUAAGUCCCUAGAAAUCACACUUGGAGACUAAGCAGGCUUUCCCAGGAGAAGUCCAAAGCCAACAUAAGCAGGAGGCUGGGGGCUGGCCGUUAACCGCAAGGCAGUGGUUGAGCCCUCGGGAUCAUCCCGGCGGGGGGCGCAGCAUCUCCGCCAAGGCCGCAGGCUCUCACCAUCAGCUGCCCGAGCCACCCUGUACCUCGCAGUCCACUCGCCCUGCCCACGCCCCGCGCCGCCCGCUCACCUUCAGCCCCUGGGAGUCCAUGGCCGCCGGCUACCCGGAGGGUGCCCACCGCUGCCCGCCGCAGGGUUAGGGGUUCAGACCCACUUCCCGGGCCCUCAAACCCUAAGGGACGCGGCGUGCAGCACGAGGGGCGUGGCCCGAUCUCCAUUGGUUGUCGGCGUGAGGGGGCGGAGCUUAGUUGUAGGACUAGGAAGGAGGGGGCCACCGGAGCAGGCGAGGAGGGAACCCCGAGGGAGGACCGCGAGGGCGACUGGGGCUGGAAUCCGCUGAGCAUUGAGUGCUGCCGAGUUGUGGGGCUAGAGGAGGGAGGUCCAGCCUGGAAACGGCGCGAGGAGGAGGGAUUGGGUGGAGCAAGAGAUAUGAGAUUAAAGAAUAAAGAUGAUGAAGCAGCAAAUAGGAGGGAGAGCCAUGCCGCUUUUCAUCCCUGCAAACAAAGGCCGACUCCAUUUUCUCAGCAUUUUUUGUGGAAGCCGAUUUGCGCAAUGCGGCUUAGUACUUGACCAGGGAAAAUGAUUUACCUGACACGUGUAGUAAUCGUGUCUGGGCCACAAGGUGGCGCAGAAAAAUCACAGUUCGGCAAAAACCUUGAAGCCUGGCUUGGGCUUGUUCUAAAUCUUUUCAGGCGCUGCUGUAAUUUUGCUAUUCGAGUGCUUAUUAAACUGCUCCGCCAGAUUUCCACCCCCAAAGUCUUAUUUAAAAAUAUGUGGUUACCUCUUUUAGAUUUCUAUUUCUUAAGUGUUUGCUGUAGUUUGGAUCUAAACUGUCCCUCAAAGACACACGUGCUGAAUGUUCCCCAGCCCGUGUGCUGUUGGGAGUGGUGGAACCUUUGAUAGAUGAGGCCAAAUGAAAGGACUUUAGAAGAUUCUCACGUGACCUUGAAGAAGACAUUGGGACCAUGGACUUGCUGUUUGCUUUUCUUUUUGCUUUUCUGUUUGCUUCCUGGCAGCCUUCCUUAGAAGAUCUUCACCAGUGUAUUUAUCAUGAGAUCCAGCAAGCUGACUGAGAGGGGCAUCUAGACACACUAAUUUGUUUCUGCUUGUAUUCUUUAAAGGACUGCAGGCAGCUGUGGCCGUUAUACUGAUGUUUUAGUGGGCCUCCUGCCUGCUCUUAGGACUCUUCCUUCAAUCGGGUUGCUUUCUCCAUCCUCCGUAUGAGAUCUUUUACCUUGUCUUACUGUAUUUUGGUCCUGUUUGGCUGUCAUCUCUUAGAAGCCUACUUCUUUCUGAAGAGGAGAGGGAGGGGGAAUGGAUCUAAAGGAAUGGAGAAGCGGAUGUGGUGAAAAGCUAGGAAGAGUGGGGUGGGGGAACUGUGGUUGGGAUGAGAGAAGAAUCCAUUUCAAUUAAAAAAAAACAGGCAGAAUGAUGUAGACAGUUCUAGAAUUCUAUCUUAUCAAGAAGAGAGGUACUUAAGGUCAUGACAAAGCAGUGGGGAUGCUAAUUAUUCCAAUGUGACCCCUGCUCUUUGUAUGUGUGCACUGAAAUAUCGCACUGUAUCCCAGUGAAAACCACCAGUUUCCACAUUUUUGAGCAUCAUAUAAGCCUUUUGAGUUUCAGUGGAGUCUUGGGACAGAAAGGGCCUUAUGAUACUGAGUGAGAAUUAGUGUUGAGAGCCAGGGGUACACAUCUUUAGUCCCAAUUACAGAGGAAACCAUGGCAGAAUGGGCACUUGAGCCCAUGAGUUCAAGAUAGACAACUGGAAAGACACACCAUCUUUAAAAGAACAAAAUGUUCUUGUUAGAUAAAUGGGACUGGUGAUUAGUCAUAAAUUUAAUU